rnacentral:rRNA from 2 species
GCGUUAAGUUGCAGGGUAUAGACCCGAAACCCGGUGAUCUAGCCAUGGGCAGGUUGAAGGUUGGGUAACACUAACUGGAGGACCGAACCGACUAAUGUUGAAAAAUUAGCGGAUGACCUGUGGCUGGGGGUGAAAGGCCAAUCAAACCGGGAGAUAGCUGGUUCUCCCCGAAAGCUAUUUAGGUAGCGCCUCGUGAAUUCAUCUCCGGGGGUAGAGCACUGUUUCGGCUAGGGGGCCAUCCCGGCUUACCAACCCGAUGCAAACUGCGAAUACCGGAGAAUGUUAUCACGGGAGACACACGGCGGGUGCUAACGUCCGUCGUGAAGAGGGAAACAACCCAGACCGCCAGCUAAGGUCCCAAAGUCAUGGUUAAGUGGGAAACGAUGUGGGAAGGCCCAGACAGCCAGGAUGUUGGCUUAGAAGCAGCCAUCAUUUAAAGAAAGCGUAAUAGCUCACUGGUCGAGUCGGCCUGCGCGGAAGAUGUAACGGGGCUAAACCAUGCACCGAAGCUGCGGCAGCGAACGUAUCACUUAAAGCGAUUCAGCGGGUUACGAUUGACGGAGCGAAGCGACGUCAAAGCGUAUACAAAGUCGAGUCGGUUUAAGGAUACGUUCGUUGGGUAGGGGAGCGUUCUGUAAGCCUGUGAAGGUGGCCUGUGAGGGUUGCUGGAGGUAUCAGAAGUGCGAAUGCUGACAUAAGUAACGAUAAAGCGGGUGAAAAGCCCGCUCGCCGGAAGACCAAGGGUUCCUGUCCAACGUUAAUCGGGGCAGGGUGAGUCGACCCCUAAGGCGAGGCCGAAAGGCGUAGUCGAUGGGAAACGGGUUAAUAUUCCCGUACUUGGUGUUACUGCGAAGGGGGGACGGAGAAGGCUAUGUUGGCCGGGCGACGGUUGUCCCGGUUUAAGCGUGUAGGUGUGUGUUCCAGGUAAAUCCGGUUCACUUUAACACUGAGGCGUGACGACGAGGCACUACGGUGCUGAAGCAACAAAUGCCCUGCUUCCAGGAAAAGCCUCUAAGCAUCAGGUAACAUCAAAUCGUACCCCAAACCGACACAGGUGGUCAGGUAGAGAAUACCAAGGCGCUUGAGAGAACUCGGGUGAAGGAACUAGGCAAAAUGGUGCCGUAACUUCGGGAGAAGGCACGCUGACACGUAGGUGAAGUGAUUUACUCAUGGAGCUGAAGUCAGUCGAAGAUACCAGCUGGCUGCAACUGUUUAUUAAAAACACAGCACUGUGCAAACACGAAAGUGGACGUAUACGGUGUGACGCCUGCCCGGUGCCGGAAGGUUAAUUGAUGGGGUCAGCGCAAGCGAAGCUCCUGAUCGAAGCCCCGGUAAACGGCGGCCGUAACUAUAACGGUCCUAAGGUAGCGAAAUUCCUUGUCGGGUAAGUUCCGACCUGCACGAAUGGCGUAAUGAUGGCCAGGCUGUCUCCACCCGAGACUCAGUGAAAUUGAACUCGCUGUGAAGAUGCAGUGUACCCGCGGCAAGACGGAAAGACCCCGUGAACCUUUACUAUAGCUUGACACUGAACAUUGAGCCUUGAUGUGUAGGAUAGGUGGGAGGCUUUGAAGUGUGGACGCCAGUCUGCAUGGAGCCGACCUUGAAAUACCACCCUUUAAUGUUUGAUGUUCUAACGUGGACCCGUAAUCCGGGUUGCGGACAGUGUCUGGUGGGUAGUUUGACUGGGGCGGUCUCCUCCUAAAGAGUAACGGAGGAGCACGAAGGUUGGCUAAUCCUGGUCGGACAUCAGGAGGUUAGUGCAAUGGCAUAAGCCAGCUUGACUGCGAGCGUGACGGCGCGAGCAGGUGCGAAAGCAGGUCAUAGUGAUCCGGUGGUUCUGAAUGGAAGGGCCAUCGCUCAACGGAUAAAAGGUACUCCGGGGAUAACAGGCUGAUACCGCCCAAGAGUUCAUAUCGACGGCGGUGUUUGGCACCUCGAUGUCGGCUCAUCACAUCCUGGGGCUGAAGUAGGUCCCAAGGGUAUGGCUGUUCGCCAUUUAAAGUGGUACGCGAGCUGGGUUUAGAACGUCGUGAGACAGUUCGGUCCCUAUCUGCCGUGGGCGCUGGAGAACUGAGGGGGGCUGCUCCUAGUACGAGAGGACCGGAGUGGACGCAUCACUGGUGUUCGGGUUGUCAUGCCAAUGGCACUGCCCGGUAGCUAAAUGCGGAAGAGAUAAGUGCUGAAAGCAUCUAAGCACGAAACUUGCCCCGAGAUGAGUUCU